rnacentral:rRNA from 1 species
UGGCUCAGGAUGAACGCUAGCGGCAGGCUUAACACAUGCAAGUCGAGGGGCAGCGCGGUUGUAGCAAUACUCUGGCGGCGACCGGCGAAAGGGUGCGUAACGCGUGAGCGACAUGCCCGUCACCGGGGUAUAACCGAUGGAAACGUCGACUAAUCCCCCAUAACAUCAGAGGAGGCAUCUCCUUUGGUUGAAAUUCACGGAGGUGACGGAUUGGCUCGCGUCUGAUUAGCUAGUCGGCGGGGUAACGGCCCACCGAGGCUACGAUCAGUAGGGGUUCUGAGAGGAAGGUCCCCACAAUGGAACUGAGACACGGUCCAUACUCCUACGGGAGGCAGCAGUGAGGAAUAUUGGUCAAUGGGCGGAAGCCUGAACCAGCCAUGCCGCGUGCAGGACGACGGCCCUAUGGGUUGUAAACUGCUUUUGCUGCGGAGCAAUAAGGGCCUCGUGCAGGUCCGAUGAGAGUACGCAGCGAAUAAGCAUCGGCUAACUCCGUGCCAGCCGCAGC